UUGUUUUAUGCGAUUUGUAUUGUCACAGUAUUUUUUAUGAAGUUAUUUAACGCUAAAACAGAAUGAGUAUAAAAUAACAUCUUUCUUUCCGUCAUUUCAAAACUUUGCACUAAAAAUGACUCCUAGAAGCUUUGUAAUUGUAUCAACAAUCUUUUUGUUAUCGAAUGUUUCAGCUGGACCUCUUUUUAGAACAAUCAAUGAUGCUUUAGGAGUUGCUGGUGACACUGUAUCAGUUCUUGUUUCAUUUCU